AUUAUAAAUUUGAAAAAGGGGAGAAAAGUAAAAUUUAUAAACUGGGUAACCAAAAUUAAUCAAAUGUUGAUGGGCUAGAGUGUGAGAGUGGGAGCCAGAAAUCUGUCAUACUUGAGCUUUGAAGCGUGAGAGAGAGAGAAAAGGGAGGGGAUAAAGCAAAGUAAUGUGAUUGUGACUUGUAUUAAUUUACACGGUACUUUAGUUCAAAUCUUUAAAAAAAAAAAAAAUUUAUGUGCCGAUUUUCCAUUUUACCCCUUUUAGUCACCCCCUAGUCCUAUGCUAUGAUCCAGGGCAGAUUUGUCCAUUACCAACGACUCUAAAUCAAAAUAGGCUCCACCACCUUAAACUCUCACUUCAGCCCAUGAAAGGGAGGAGAGCUGAGAGUCCAUUGGACAUGAAAACCUACUUAAACAAAACUAAUAUCUUCUCCUAAAAAAAAUUAGUAUUACUGUUGAAAUUAUUAAUUAUUAAUUUUUAAUGAAUUAUGGCCUUUAGUCUAAUUCCUAUUAGGUUUGAAGUUUCAUGCAAAAAUGUUAGCUAAUUUCACCAUGAGCUUAUUGAUGACUUUGUUCCUCAAUUGAAUAUUGAGUUUUGUCCAAACUUGUAAAUUUUUUCUUAUAUUCGCUUGACAGAUCAUAAGUGCAUUUGACCAAAAUUUGUAAAUGUGUAGAGUGAAGUUGAGUGAACAACAAACUUUUGUCUUCAUCCUCAAUUACACCGAAUGAACAAAUACAAAUAAAAGUUCUUAGACAAAUACUUGCAACAAAACUUUCAUUACAAAGAAAUUUCCAUCUUGGAAUUUAGCCUUCACAAAAGUCCAAACAUGAUAGUCCACUUGUUGGGUAAUUAUCAAAUUUCCAUCAUGGAAUUUAGUUAUGCCUUGCUUCAAUAAUUAAGAUAAGAAGAAGAAUUUCAUCAAAAAAAAAAAAAAAAAAAGGAUAAGAAGUUUCAUAAUUGGACCACCUACUAGUCCACUUGUUGGGUAAUUGUCAUGUUCACAACUUUGCUUACAUAAUAAUAUCUUUCUACCUAAUACUCCACUCCUACAAUUAUAUCAACAUUUUAUACUCUCUACAAUUUCUCUUCUAUUCUCUAUUCUCCUCUUCAACCGACUGUCUCUCUCUCUCUCUCUCUCUUCAUCUCAUCGACCUUGACAAAGUGAUCAGCAUCCUUAAGUAUUUGCAACAGGACUUCUCUUUUUUAUAGCACCAGCCAGCAAGUUCCAAAAUAAGUUUAAAGGUCAAAUACCUCUCCUCAAAUUUCAAGAUUUGCCAAUAUAUUUCUAAUGGCUGCCAUUAGCACUCAAUCUGCCUCAUCUUCGUCAUCAAUUUCUUCUUCAACACCACAAUGGAAAUACGAUGUCUUUCUCAGCUUUAGAGGUGAGGACACACGCAAUAGAUUUACUGACCAUCUAUAUGUUGCCUUAAAACAAAAGGGCAUUCUCACCUUUAGAGACGAGGAAAAACUUGAGACAGGAAAAUCUAUUUCAUCAGAACUUUUGAAAGCAAUAGAAAAAUCAAGGUUUGCAAUUGUCAUUCUUUCAAGAAACUAUGCAUCUUCUACAUGGUGUUUGGAUGAACUUGUAAAGAUCAUUAGGUGCAUGAAAGAGAUGAAGAUGAUGGUUCUACCAAUUUUUUAUGAUGUGGAUCCAUCUACUAUACGAAAGCAAAUGGGUACUUUUGCCCAAGCCUUUGCUAAACAUGAAGAAAAUUUCAAGGACUCCAUAGACAAGGUGCAAGCAUGGAGAACUACUUUGAGAGAAGUAGCCAAUAUCAAAGGAUGGCAUGUACAAGAUAGGCCUGAGUCACAAAUUAUCCAGAACAUUGUGGGAGAAUUGUGGCAUAAAUUAAGUUAUGCAUUCUCAGAAUGUACCAAAAACCUAGUAGGAAUAAUUUGUCAAGCGGAGAAAUUGGAGUCAUGUUUGGAUUUAGGGUCAAACGAUGUUCGCAUGGUAGGGAUUUGGGGGAUGGGAGGAAUAGGUAAAACAACUCUUGCUAGAGUUGUGUUUCGUAUGGUUUCAAAUAAGUUUGAAGAUAAGUUUGAAGGUUGUUGUUUUCUUGCUAAUGUUAGGGGAGUUUGUGAAAAAGUUGGUUUAGUUCGAUUACAAAAACAACUCAUUCUUCAAAUUUUGAAUGAAAAUAUGGGUGUAGAAGAUGUUAAUGAAGGAGUUUUUGUGAUCAAGAACAGGUUACGUCAUAAAAAAAUUCUUCUUGUUCUUGAUGAUGUAGAUCAAUUAGACCAAUUAAACAAGUUAGCAGGGGAUCAUAAUUGGUUUGGUUUAGGUAGUAGAGUUAUCAUAACAACAAGAGAUAAGCAUUUGCUACAGACUCUUGGAGUAGAUGAAAUAUAUGAGGCUAAUGGAUUGACUCAUGAUGAAUCUCUUCAUCUUUUGAGUUUGAAAGCAUUUAAAAAAGAUCAUCCACCCAAAGAUUAUCUAAAGUUGUCCAGGGAUUUUGUAUAUUAUGCUAAUAACCUUCCUUUAGCUAUUGAGAUUUUGGGUUCUUUUUUGUUUGGUAGAAGUAUCCAUCAAUGGAAAAGUACAUUAAAUAGGCUAAAACAGUUUCCUGAAAAAGAUAUUCUCCAAGUACUUAGAAUAAGUUUUGAAGGACUACAUGAAACAGAGAAGGAAAUAUUUCUAAAUAUUGCUUGUUUCUUUAAUCAUGAGGGGAAAAAUGAUGUAGUAGAAAUACUAAAUUAUCUUGACCUUUUUCCAGAUGUUGGAUUAGGGGUUCUUUUUGAUAAAUCUCUUGUUAAAUUUCGGGGUUCUACCUUGUGGAUGCAUGAUUUGCUUCAAGAAAUGGGCAAGAACAUAGUUUAUGAAGAGUGUACUAAAGAGCCUGGAAAACGUGGCAAAUUGUGGCUGUUUAAGGAGAUUAACGAUGUACUGACAAAAAAUACGGGAACAAAAGCAAUUCAAGGCAUAGUCUUAAAGUUGCAUAAACAAAAAGAGGUAUAUUGGAAUCCUGAAUCCUUUUCAAAGGUUCAUGAUCUUAAAUUGCUCAUAAUUGAUAAUGUUCACCUUUUACACGAGCCCAAAUAUCUUCCUAAUGCCUUGAGAUUUCUUGAUUGGAGUGAAUACCCUUCAAAAUAUUUUCCACCAAGUUUCCAACAAAAGUCUUUUGAUAGUUUGAAGUUCAUCAAAUUGAAGAAAUCACUAAAAUUAAUUGAAACUCCUGACUUCAACGAAAUCCCAAAUCUUGAGAAAUUGGAUCUUGAGGGUUGUAUAAAUUUACGUUCCUUGCACCCAUCAAUUGGAGUUCAUCAAAAACUCACUUUUCUUAACCUAGAAGGUUGCAAAAACCUCAGAAGUCUUCCAAGCAAGUUUGAAAUUGAGUUUCUUGAGAUCCUUAUUCUUUCUGGUUGCUCAAAUUUAAAAAGAAUUCCGGAGUUUGGAGAAAAUAUGAAAAAUGUAUCAAAGCUUUACUUGGAUGGCACUGCUAUUACAAAAUUACCAACAUCAAUUGAAAAUUUGACUGGGCUUGUUUCAUUGAAUGUAAAAGAUUGCAAAAAUCUCAUGUCUCUUCCUAACACCUUUUUUAAUAUGAAGUGGCUCGAAGAUCUCAAUCUUUCUAGAUGCUCAAAAGUACAGGAAAACUUGGUGACUGAGAAAAGGGUAGAAGAGGUUGAUGUGAGUGGAACUGCCACAGGACUUAUGGCUUAUUCCAAUAUUCUUUUUCAAACUCUUAAAACACUAGCUAUGGGUGGAUUUAAGCCGAGAAGUUCCAAUCGCAUGGGCUUGUUAACGGCUUCUUUAUGGGGCUUGUGUUCUUUGACCUGUCUAAAUCUAAGUUAUUGCAAUCUCAAUGCAAUCCCCAAUGAUAUUUGUUGCUUAUUCUCUUUAAAAUAUUUAUAUCUAAGCGGCAAUAAUUUUAAUUGUCUUCCGGAAAACAUUGCUCAACUAUCUAGGCUGUAUCGGUUGGAGGUGAACAAUUGUACAAGUCUUCUAUCAUUGCCAAAGCUUCCAUUAAAUAUUUGUUUUAUUUUGGGAAAGGGUUGUACCUCACUAGAAACUCUACCAGAUCUAUUACCACCAAAUUCUCCAUUUGAGCGUUACGUCUACCUUACAAAUUGCAGUAAAUUGGCUGAGAAUCAAGGCUUCAUUGACAAUGGAUUGCUGUUUUUUGCAGCGAUAAUAAGUUCCCUUCGGUGCCCUCGCUCUAAUACCCGUUACUACAGAUAUAACGGUGUUAUCCCUGGAAGUGAAAUUUCAAAGUGGUUUACACAUCAAAGUAUUGGGGAUGAGGUUAGUAUUCAAGAACCUAAUUCUCUUUUGUGUAAUGAGUGGAUCGGGAUUGCUGUUUGCGCAUUAUUUUGUUCUAAUCCACAUCACCAAAUCCUAAAAGAAGGUUUACUUAGCUGUUGGUUGAUAGUCAACGGAAAACAAAUGAAUCGCGCACCACUCACGACCGACUUUGUUCCUUUAUCGGAUCACACUUGGCUUCCUCAAUUCUACGAGGAGGAAGAAAUGAAGAAAUCAUUGUGCGAAUGCGAUGCAAAUGGAUUCAGUGAGAUUGGAAUUAAAAUUAAAAAUACUCGUGAAUUUUUGAAGGUCCCAUUAAUGGUAAAGAAGUGCGGGUUGCGAAUGAUAUACAAGAAAGAUAUUGAAGAUCUUAGUUUCGACAAUUCGACGGCGGCGGCAGUGGAAGGUUACAAAGCCAAGCGAACUCGUGAUGACUAUGAUGGGGCUGGAAGCUCUAAUUACGAACCUCACCCAAAAAGGAUUGAAAGAGUCACAAAAUUUAUGGGUGAGGGUAACUCUAACUGUGAGGAAUCAAGUGAGAACAAGGAAUGUGCUGAAGAGCUAGGUGAUUGAAGGUUAAUCAACUUUUUUCUCUGCAUGGAUGAAGAGCUGGACGAAGGGAGGGAGUUUUGGGGAUCUUAAAGCACUUCUCAUUGUCCUUUUUCUCUGUUUUAUGGGUAACUUACAGUUCAAAAAACAAAGAAAAGCCUUGAUAGUAGCAGGAUAAGCAAGUGUAGACCUUUAGAGAGAAGGAAAUGCAGGGGAUCCAAGCUUCUUUUGAAAAAAUAGAGAAGGUGGAUGGAUUCCCUGCAGAGUCUAGAUCCCUAGGAACCCUUGCCCCUAAAUUCUUUGUGAACAUUAGCUUGGAUAACAUGCAGCAAACUUUGAAUCUUAUACUUUUCUGCUUGUGCUGUUUUGGUUCCUUCGUUUCAAAAUGUACGAAAAAAGAAUGGCAAGACAAAGAACUUUGUGGUGUUUUGAAUGCAGUAGAAAUCAUGUGCUGGAAAGCAAGUAAACAUUGAAACUGGAAGCUUUUACUGCCAAAGGCAUGGAUCAUGAGCUGGCUGAUUAGUGGAAAUUUGAAGAACUUAAAGUUCUUCUAGGUAGCUAACAGUUAAGAACUAAAGGAUUGCAUCCACAGUAGUAAAAUAAGCAAAGUCCAGACCUUUAUAGAAUCUUCCAACUGGCAACCAAUCCUGUUUGAGGAGAGCUGCAAGGGUAGAAGAACGAAAUGGAGGGGAUUCAUUCAGUUUUGAUUGUAAACAUAAAGAUGGGUCCAUUUCUGGUUGUUUGAGCUGGACUAGGGAGGCUGGAAUAGAAAUAACACAGAGGUGACAGAUCGAGCUGAUGAAGGACAUUCAGAUGUUUAGGAACCAGUUGACAGAUGUUUCGGGUUCGGAGAGGAGUUCAGACGUCUUCUGACAGAGCCUCAAUCUCCAGCAACCAUUGCUCCUAACUUCUUUAUGAACUUUAGCUUCGAUAACACAGUUGUUGAAUAGAAUAGUACAAUAGUUGUUGAUGAUUCUGCUUUCUUUAAACGACACUGUUUUUACUAAUUAAAUGCCAUGACAGUAGAGUGACGCCCUUUCAUUAAUUUGAUAGUUUUCGCUUGAUAGCUGUUGGUCCUUUCCAGUUGUCAAUGCCUCAUUGGCUCCACGUUAAUAUGAAGAAACUAAUAAUGCUUUUUAA